GUUUUUUGAAUUUUCUAUUCAGUCGGUGGGGCGAAGGGCGGCGGCCUUUGUCCUAGCCGGGGAGGGGAUUGGAAGGGGUUGGCCGAGGCGGGCGGAGACGGCGGAGGGAAGGGGCCUCCUCGCCGGUGAUUAGCGGUUGGUCGGCCAACCGGAGAUGGAGCGUGGCGCUUGAUUGCUGGAGGCGUGCGUCACAGAGAGGGCCGCGGGCUGGAGAGGAACUCAGCGGAGCUCCCCGUCGUGCUCGCGGCCAACAAGCACCCAUGCUGGGGGAGGUAGUAUUUGCCGGCGUCGGUGGGGCGCAAGGUCCGACUGCGCUGACCGUCGCUCAUCGCGUCUAAAUUUUGGGGUUUGGUUGUCUGAGGACUUUGAAAGCUGAGUGGUUAUAUUUCACAUCUCCGAGCCAAAGUUGUCCCACACUUACUCAACAAGUUCUCCCACACUAGUGUCAUUUUAAGUACUCUCAGGGAUCAGAUGCACGCUGGAAAUGGACCAAAUGGGGCGUCAGUGGUGUUGAAUCCCAUCACAACAGAUACAUGCUUUUGACGCUCAAAGAUACAACUCACGGAGGAAGAUCAUUUUUUGUGGGUCUGCGCUAAUAAGCCUACUGACACUUGUGUCGCUUCCAGCGGCUGUAGCAGCCAAGGAGUGGUUGUUUUACGAGGGCGGAGUUUAAGAAACAACUUUUCGAAGAUAAUUGUUGUCGUAUGCUAUUCUGGCAAGAUCUCUGUUCCCACCAUUGUUUUUUAUUGAAGUUACUGUCAGGUUU